GAAAGGUGUUGUGGGUGUAAAUGAGAAAGGAGUAGUGAUAAACCUAAUCCCACUCUUUGGCUUGGGCUCAACACGAAGGGGCAAGGGAACCGUUGCCGGUGAAGAAUCUGCUAAACUUGCAGCUUUGUGCCAGUUAAUUAAGGAAGAGAAAGAGACCAUACUCUGGUUUCCAAGGGUCAUGCACAGAAGAUAACCUAGCCUACACAAUGGACUUUCUUAAAUGAAUCUAAUUACUUCUAGUUGUUUAGAAACCCUAUUAAAGGGUACUUUAUUUUCACAGCACUUGAAAACACAACUCUGAUAUAUAAAUUAAAGAAAUCACCUAGAGCUUCAUUGGUAUUAAGUUUCUCAUCACUCAUAGGGUACUUGAAAACCACAUUAAAAUAGUCUGAUUUGAUUUCUUCAUAUUAAGUUUCUCAUCACUCAUAGAGUACUUGAAAACCACAUUAGAAUAGUCUGAUUUGAUUUCUUCAACUUUUACACAUGACUCUAUAAAUGAAUCCCCUAAAGCUUCAUUGUACUAAGUAAACUAAACCAGCUACAUCAUCACAAUAAAGAAGCAGCCACUCUCAUUUUCAGGAUAUCACUUUCCGCAAAAAACAUCAUCACAUUUCAUACUUUUUUUUGCAAUAAAAUUUGCAUGCCAGAACAUUACGAGCUAUCUCAACCCCAAUGACACAGCCACCCUAAUGUACACAGUUGCAAAUCUAAAGGCACACGAAAGGAUAUCUUAAAUGCAGCAAAGGCACGCUUCUCUGUGCGGCGUAAAAGGCGUUCUGCAUCCUCCUCAGCCUCCAUCUGCUCCUUGAGAUAGAGUAGAUCAUCACUGUCCAAUGCUGCAUAUUCAAACUUAACCAAAAUUCAAAAAAAAACAAAAAAAAACUAAAGGUAUAUAUUGAAGGAAAAAGGAACCAAAAACCCAGCCAGAGAGAGGCAGAGACAGUACCG
rnacentral:lncRNA from 1 species